UACGUAGGGGCCAAGCGUUGUCCGGAUUUAUUGGGCGUAAAGAGCUCGUAGGCGGUUGGGUAAGUCGGGUGUGAAAACUCCAGGCUCAACUUGGAGAUGCCACCCGAUACUGCUCUGACUUGAGUUCGGUAGGGGAGUGGGGAAUUCCUGGUGUAGCGGUGAAAUGCGCAGAUAUCAGGAGGAACACCGGUGGCGAAAGCGCUCUGCUAGGCCGCAACUGACACUGAGGGACGAAAGCUAGGGGAGCGAAUGGG
rnacentral:rRNA from 1 species